rnacentral:rRNA from 1 species
CUGCAGUCGCACGAGAAAGGGCUUCGGCCCCGGUAAAGUGGCGCACGGGUGAGUAACACGUGGGUAAUCUGCCUUCGAGCGGGGGAUAACAUUCCGAAAGGAGUGCUAAUACCGCAUAAGACCACAAGCUUCGCAAGAAGCAGCGGUCAAAGCUGGCCUCUGUAUACACGCUAGCACUUGAAGAUGAGCCCGCGGCCCAUCAUGGUAGUUGGUAGGGUAAUGGCCUACCAAGCCGAAGACGGGUAACUGGUCUGAGAGGAUGAUCAGUCACACUGGAACUGAGACACGGUCCAGACUCCUACGGGAGGCAGCAGUGGGGAAUCUUGCGCAAUGGGCGAAAGCCUGACGCAGCGACGCCGCGUGAGUGAUGAAGGCCUUCGGGUUGUAAAGCUCUGUGGGGAGAGACGAAUAAGUGCAGGCUAAUACCCUGCAUGAUGACGGUAUCUCCUUAGCAAGCACCGGCUAACUCUGUGCCAGCAGCCGCGGUAAGACAGAGGGUGCAAACGUUGUUCGGAAUUACUGGGCGUAAAGCGAGUGUAGGCGGUCUUGUAAGUCGGAUGUGAAAGCCCCGGGCUCAACCCGGGAAGUGCACUCGAUACUGCGAGGCUAGAGUACUGGAGAGGUUGGUGGAAUUCUCGGUGUAGAGGUGAAAUUCGUAGAUAUCGAGAGGAACACCGGUGGCGAAGGCGGCCAACUGGACAGAUACUGACGCUGAGACUCGAAAGCGUGGGGAGCAAACAGGAUUAGAUACCCUGGUAGUCCACGCCGUAAACGAUGGGUGCUAGGUGUCGCGGGCUUUGACUCCUGCGGUGCCGUAGCUAACGCAUUAAGCACCCCGCCUGGGAAGUGCG